rnacentral:rRNA from 1 species
CCGCGUGUCUGAAGAAGGCCUUCGGGGUUGUAAAGGACUUUUGUCAGGGAGCAAAACUUACUGGUUAAUACCUGGUGAGGUUGAGAGUACCUGAAGAAUAAGCACCGGCUAACUACGUGCCAGCAGCCGCGGUAAUACGUAGGGUGCAAGCGUUAAUCGGAAUUACUGGGCGUAAAGCGUGCGCAGGCGGACUUUUAAGCCAGAUGUGAAAGCCCCGAGCUUAACUUGGGAAUUGCGUUUGGAACUGGGAGUCUAGAGUCUGUCAGAGGGGGAUGGAAUUCCACGUGUAGCAGUGAAAUGCGUAGAGAUGUGGAGGAACACCGAUGGCGAAGGCAGUCCCCUGGGAUAAGACUGACGCUCAUGCACGAAAGCGUGGGGAGCAAACAGGAUUAGAUACCCUGGUAGUCCACGCCCUAAACGAUGUCUACUAGUUGUUGGGGUAGCAAUACCUCAGUGACGCAGCUAACGCGUGAAGUAGACCGCCUGGGGAGUACGGUCGCAAGAUUAAAACUCAAAGGAAUUGACGGGG